rnacentral:snoRNA from 1 species
UCAUCAUGUAGGAUUAUCCUUACCUGUUCCUUUCUAUUCAGAAGACAUAUAGAACAUGAUGAUUGGAAGAGUUCACAUGAUUCGUGCGCGAUUAUGGCUGGCAACACCCUAAUUGCUCUUAUCUGGU